rnacentral:lncRNA from 1 species
UUCUCAUUAGACUGAAAGUGUCAUGAGGGCAGGGUCCAUGCCACUGUUGUAUUCCCAGCAUUAGCACGAUGUCCGGCAUAAAUACGCAGGAAGUAUUUGUUGAACGAAUGACAGCCUCACUUUGGCCUGCUUUUUUCCUGGCGCUCAGAAGAAGGUAAAUCUAUUGAUGAACACCCCAUCUUCCUGAUAAAUGGUAGAGCUGAGGUUGCAGAGAUCAUAAAAUGGACUUGCUAAGUGACCCACGCAAGUAUCGAGCAUUAUGGCUGAAGAAGUGACUGUUGUCUACUCUUACUUUCAUUGCCCUUUCCUAACACGAACUCUGUAUUUAAUAUAUACUUCAGGAUAGACUACCUAUAGUUACUAUUUAAUGAGUGCUUAUCAUGUGCCAACCUAUGUAAAGCACUUUGUAUGGUUGGUUUCAUUUAAUUCUCACAAAAUUCUAUGAGGUAGGUACUAUUACUGUUAUUCCUGUUUUACAGUGACAAAUUAAGGAGGGCCAGUUUAUUUGCCUCCACACAGCUGCUAAGUGGUAAAGCAGGGAUUUGAAACCUUGUAGUCUGUCUUCAUGUCCUGUGCUGUUACUACCUCCUACGUUACCAAUAAACCACUGUUAAUUUUGAAAUCUAUUUAAAAUUAGUUACCAUAAUUUCAAAGAUCUGAAGCAAGAAAUCAGUAGAUUGGAACCAAAUUUGAAAUGAAAUGACAGAAAUAUGCAAAGGUUUUCAUCAAAAUUUCUCCAUUAUUUUAACAUUUGUAAUAGAUAUUUGCCCUUAAAAUCCCUGUGUUGCUAAGAAGCUAAUUAUCAGAACUUUCUUGGUAAUGAGCUUAUAUAGUGUUUCAAGUCUACAUCUACACCAAAAAGAUUAUCUAGAAUUUCUAACAUAAUAUUGUUUUCCUGAGUUACAGUAAUGAUUCCACAUUUGUUUAUUAUCAUUUAUACUCACUGUUAGCACAUUAUCAAAAUGAAGUCAGGGUGGUGUUUACAUUUCCAU